CACAGUUGCUGCCGCAGAGGUGUAAUUGGCGAAUGCCUUCUACAACCGAUACACUGACAUGAAGCUGACGGCGAAUUUCGUAAGAUAGAAGAGGAUUUAACACGCAACAGACGGCGGUAAAGAAAGAGAAAGGGGCGAAAUUCAGGUGGUAUCUGCAUCCGCAUGAACCAACAGAGGUGGUAAAAAUUUCAAGUAUCUGUCAUAACACUGAUGGAGGAAGUAGACAGUUGCAUGGGUUAGUGCAGCAGCAUGUAGACGGUAGUAUAGUUUAAAUAUGCACGCAUCCUGAAUCGUUGGAUAUCCAGCUGAUAAAGAGCCCAACGAACAUGCAAACGAGAUGCUGAGCACGAGCGAGCAGACAAACGAGAGACACAAACAAAUCUCCUGUCUGGUAAUCGGCACACAGAGGAAGGAUGACGUCGAAAAGCAGGCCGCAGCUGGCGAAACGUGUACUCUCAGCAGGGCCUCCCCUCGCAUCGCAGCAGGUAGCGACAGGCUCGUGGCAGAUUACAGGUUACCUCCUGCAGUGAUCCAGGCCCCCAAGGGUCUGACGCAGAUAGCAGAUUACCACAGCUGCCUACAGCUCAAUUCAAAGGUCGCAAUCGGCGCAGCUUUGUGAGACAAAUCAUCAACACUCCUGUCACAAGAAGACUGGAGCCACGAGGGGCGUUUGAAAAGUCCGCGCGAAGUCCGAGAGAUGGCACCACCGGCGCGUAUAGAGGCCACGUUUAGUUAGUAGCAUCUCUGAA